ensembl:ncRNA lncRNA:CR46108 long non-coding RNA:CR46108
AGUCAUUAGAAUAAUCUCUCAACUAACCGACGUGGUUUUAAGAUCGUCUAUGGGUCAAGUGGGUUCGUCACUCGAUUCUCCCUCCUCCACUGAGUGACCGCCGAGUGACCACCCACCUGGAUUUAUCGGCACGCCACUGAGCCUAUGGAAACACCCAUGGCCAAGAGGCGACUCCGAGCCAUUGAACCAUUUGGAACUAUCACUUUUAACGCGCAUUACAAUGGCACUCGAGGUGGCCCAAUUUCGUGGCUUGGAGUGCACUUGAUCACCGAUUAUUGUCUGCUGAUUCGAGCCGAAUCCAUUUAAUUUCACUGCUGCCAGAUGCCCACGAGAUCGAAAACGAAAACGAAAUCGAAACUAGAAACUAGAAAAUAAAAGGAAAAGGAAAAGCGUCGAAAAUUGCUCCCUCGAAGCGAGUGAAAAGAUCACGGCCAUUGGGAGUGGGAGUGGGUGAGAUGUGGAGGAAAGUCAAAGUGAAAUGCUUGGAAAGCAAACCAAAUUGCCAGUCAGUCACUUAGUCAGUCAGUCAGUCUCUUGGACCACAAACUCACAAACAACAAUAGCAAUAGGCGAUCCAAGGAGGAGGGCGGCCCAGCCACACCCGACUUGGAUGUCUGGGUAAUCCAAUAGCGGCAAUUAGAGUGCCGCCCCCGGGGAUCCGGAGAUCGGGGGAUCGAGAUCAGAAACGCGGUCACAGUUCCGCAGAUCGCCCCAGUGCAUUUCCAUGCUCCAGUACCAGCUGCAGUGCCAUUACCAUCAAACCUCCUCCAUGGGCAACUCGUCUAACCGGACCUAGACUCCAUCUCUCCGAGGAAAUGCCUUUGCCAUAGCUCCACUUGAACCCAUGCACUGGCAAAAGAAUUGGUUCUCAAUAGAAGAUGGAAUGUAGAAAUGAAGUAUGCCUUAACCUUUUCAAGUGAACGAUGUACACGUUCUGAAUAGACUUUUUUCGCUCAGUGUAAGAGGUAGCAGCGCCGUCCGGUUCGAUCGGCUACUCCGUAAUCCAAUUAAAGGAACAAUCUACAUUUCAAUUCAAAACUAAUGAAGUGUAGAGAAUUCGCAACAAAGGCUGACAUGUGUUGAUUGUUUCGACGACUGCAGUGCUGGUAUUUGAAAGUCGUGGGUUUCUUCUGACUCCAUAUAGUCCAUACAGACACGUAAUACCUGGCUUUUUAAAGCCAUUACUAACAAGCUUCCCUGUAGAGCACCCAGAGUUCCAGCUGCACAACUUCCGUCCAGCACAAGCACACAUUGUGCGUAGUCCAAACAAUUCAUUGAUUGAUUGUCGAUAUGGCGAUCAAUUAGACAGAUUAUGGUUUUCAUUGAUCGCCAUCCAGCAGCAGUAGUGACAAACCCAGGGACAGCUGUCAAUGGUCACUUGUAUCUACUUCUAUAUGCACAAUAUAUAAACGCCGACUUCGAUUUCGAUUUCUAUUCUCGGCAGCACACCAUUUUGAUUCUCCUACUGCUACUGGGACU